GAGCUUAUAGUUUAAUAUUUAAAACGUGAGACUGUUAAUCUUUAGAUGCAUUUGGCUAAGCUUA
rnacentral:tRNA from 1 species